UGGGGAGUAACACCAUGUGAAGACAGAGGUGGAGAUUGGAGGGGUGCAUGUACCAACCAAAGGAAUAUCAAGGGCUGGCAGCAGCACUAGAGCAAGCGAAAGGCAUGAAACAGAUUCUCCCCUAGAGCUGUAAGAGGCAGUGUGGCCCUGGCAACACCUUGCUUUAGGACUUCUAACCUCUAGAAUAAUGAGAUAAUGAGAGUAUAUUUCUGUUGGUUUCGGCCAUGCGGUUUGUGGUAACUGGUUCCAGCAGCCCUAGGAAUCUAAUACACUGCCCAUGUUAUUUUGAGGAUCAAGUGAAACUUAGAAACAAUAACAACAAAAAAAGCAAAGUCUGUGAUCAAGAAGAAUUACUCUGUUGCAACAAUAUAAACUAAGAAAAAAAUACGCAAAAUUCUCUGCUGCCUUGGGAGAUGAUCUCAUGAUGUGUAUCAUUUACUUUUAAUAUUUUUAUUUAUUUAUUUUUGAGACGGAGUCUCGCUCUGUCGCCCAGGCUGGAGUGCAGUGGCGUGAUCUCGGCUCACUGCAACCUUCGCCUCCCGGGCUCAAGUGAUUCUCCUGCUUCAGCCUCCUGAGUAGCUGGGAUUAUAGGCAUGUGCCGCCAUGCCUGCCUAGUUUUUUAUUUUUAGUAGAGAUGGGGUUUCACCAUGUUGGUCAGGCUGCUCUCAAACUCCUGACCUUGUGAUCUGUGCGCCUCAGCCUCCCAAAGUGCUGGGAUUACUGGUGUGACCGACCGUGCCUGGCCAAUGUGUAUGAUUUAAUAGCCAGCAGCAACAGGCCACUAACAUGCCAUCUGCUAACAGGGGCUCUAGCUAUUAACAUCAACAGAGCUAAAAACUCUUAUGUCUGAUCCCUUGCAAAUGGCGAAGACCUGGCUGAGAAUUAUUAUCUCAUGCUUUCAGAGAAAACUUUGCUUGUCCUGCACUGAAAAAUCUGGCUGCAAUAAUCACAUGGAAGAAGAAAAAGAUUCCAUGAUACUAGUUAUCUAAAUAUCCUCCCUGGUACUGAGAUUUGAAGUUUAUUGUGCUGCCCUAUUCUUGGGCAUUUCGUAAUAUUCAAGAUAUCUGAACCACCAUCUGUUCUGUGGAAGUGUGACUAAUUAGUGGCUAAUGUUUUCAGUAGUAUAGUGCCAAAUAAAAAGUUCUAAUAAUUUAAUUAUAAAGAGUCAACAAUAAUUGCUGGGUGAGGGUGGAAUAUUGGUCAUCAACUUUUUAGUCCUUUGUAAUGGCUUAUUUCCCUAUAGUUAUUACCUAUGCCACUUCAACUGAAGUCACAUGUGAAAACAGGCUUAAGAUAGCUGUAAAAAACAAACAAACAAACAAACAAACCAUGUUUUCUAGAAGAUUUUAGCUUCAGUUCAUUAAGACUGAUAAAUUAUUUCAUUUUGUACCUUCUACAACUUUUUGGAGAACUUCUUUACACUUAUUUAAUACAUAGUAUUUUAAAGGUUCCUUACUGAUGUCUAUUCUCCAAGUAUACCUGAAAAGUAUAUUUGUUUGCUAAAGAAACUUGAUACAGUGAAAAAUUAAUUGGAGAUCUCUGUUCUCAAUUCAUGGUGUAGACUAAAAACUCCACCUCCACUAUCUUCAUAAAUUCUUGCUCAACACUGAGUUGCUCCUUCUGAACAAAAGCUUGGCACACUAUGAAGUUGCUUUUUUUCUCUUCUUUUUUAAAUUAGAGAGGGGGUUUCACCAUGUUGGCCAGGCUGGUUUCGAACUCCUGGCCUCAGGUGAUCUGCUCACCUUGGCCUCCCAAAGUUCUGGGACACUGCACCUCCCUGACAUAUGAAGUUUCUUCUGCAAGUUAUGUAGCUCAAAGUAUAAUUUCAGAUUCCGUCCAUUAAUGUGCAGUACUGAACAGAACAUCAUCACUUGACACAUGCCAAAUAUUUCACAGCAAUACAAACAAUAUUUACAAGGCCACAUAAAUCAGGAAAGAAUGAGCAGAAUAACACUGGCAUAAAAUGGGAAAAAGUGAGGGCCAGCUGUUCCCUUGAGCGGUGUUUCAGGCACUUCAAAGUCGGACUUACUGUAAUGGGUACAUCCAUCUACAACAUCCUGGGUGCUCUGAUUCCAGAUGAUAACCUGUAUCUAUUUCCAACCCAAUUAACAAAGGGUAGGAUUCUUUAUGGGGAAGGAUAUGCCAGAUACAUAUUGCUUAUAUGUUGGUAGACUACACACUAAAUCUCCAGUAUAGGUACAUAUGCUUAUAUUGAAAGAUGCACCAACAUAAUCGUCAUCUAUGUACCUUUGUGAAGUAAGUUAAACAGUUAUGGGCAUUUUGGCAGCUGACAGAGACUCAUGUGGUAUUUUAUUCUCUUUCCAAGAGAAACAGAAAUGAGAGAUCUUAAAUGAAAUCAUUAGUCAUUAGGAAAACUAGGGACAUAAAAGACAGUGGGCACACAAGGUCAGUUUCCUGGUUUUGAUAAUGGACUAUAGUUACGUAAGAUGUCACUGGUGAGGCAUGUGGGUGAUGGAUGCAUGAGACCUCUCUGUACUAUUUUUCCAAGUUCUUGUGAGAGUACAAUUAUUUCAGAAUAUAAGUUUAAUAGCCCACUAUCUUUUAAGUUUAAACAAUGAUGUGGUUCAGAGAACACUCAUGGCUUCCCUGCUCAGCCAUCAAAGAGAAUUGUGACUUACUGAAUAUAACAAUAACCUCAAAGUCACAAGUCACAGUUAUGUGUUUUGGCUGUGCUACUUAUAAUGCAUGUGACACAGGCCAGUAAGUUACUCAAAUUUUAAGUUUGAGCUUUUUCAUUUGUAAGAUGGAACAAUCGUGACACUCAAAAGAUGAAGAAUGAGUUUUUUUCCCCAUUAAUUGUAAAGUACCAAAGCAUCAUAAUUUGAGAGCCAUAACAAGAUUGGGCAAAUUAGAAAAAAUGCUGCCACGUAUAAUUCAAUAACAAGUGUCCAAUUAUUACAAAACUAUACCCUAAGUCAGGCGACAUUCCUCCAGUCUUACAAGUAUGGAGAGGUAAGAACUGAUUCAAUUGCUAAGGCUAGUAAGCUAGUUCCAGCCUGACAGUUUCAUCGUAAAAGGCAAGCUGUUCUAUUAACUUCCAU
rnacentral:lncRNA from 1 species